rnacentral:rRNA from 1 species
UUUAAUAGGGCGACUAGUCGCUAGGAGUAGACCCGAAACCGGCGCGAUCUAUCCAUGGCCAGGUUGAAGAUUAGGUAGUACUAAUUGGAGGACCGAACCCAAUACUGUUGCAAAAGUAUGGGAUGAGCUGUGGAUCGGAGUGAAAGGCUAAUCAAGCACGGAGAUAGCUGGUUCUCCCCGAAAACUAUUUAGGUAGUGCCUCGUGUAUAACUCAUUGGGGUAAAGCACUGUUUCGACAAUGGGGGUUUUACGACCUUACUGACUCGAUGCAAACUCAGAAUACGAUGAAGUUCGAUCACGGGAGACACACUGCGGGUGCUAAGGUCCGCAGUGGAAAGGGAAACAGCCCAGACCGCCAACUAAGGUCCCAAAGUCAUAGCUAAGUGGGAAACGAAGUGGGAAGGCCCAGACAGCCAGGAGGUUGGCUUAGAAGCAGCCACCCUUUAAAGAAAGCGUAAUAGCUCACUGGUCGAGUCGGCCUGCACGUAAGAUUUAACGGGGCUAAGCUAUGCACUGAAGUUGCGGAAUAUAUUUAGUAUAUUGGUAGGGGAGCGUUCUGUAAGCCGAUGAAGGUGAAUUGAGAAGUUUGCUGGAGGUAUCAGAAGUGCGAAUGCUGACAUGAGUAACGUAAAAUAAGUGAGAUUCUUAUUGGCCGAAAACCCAAGGGUUCCUACGCAAUGUUAAUCAACGUAGGGUAAGCCGGCCCCUAAGGCGUAGCUGAAGAGUGAAGUCGAUGGGAAACAGGUUAAUAUUCCUGUGCUGCUUAUAUGAACGAAGGAGGGACGGAGAAGGUUAGGUAGGCCUGGCGAAUGGUUGUCCAGGUGAAAGUAUGUAGGUAGGAAUGCUAGGCAAAUCCGGUGUUCUGUUGAUCUGAGAUACGAGACGAAGUUAAACUUGUUUGACGAAGCUAUUGAUACCAUGCUUCCAGGAAAAGCUUCUAAGUAUAUUGUAUAAGUGACCGUACUGUAAACCGACACUGGUGGGUAGGUAGAGAAUACUAAGGCUAUGAGAUAACUCUGGUGAAGGAACUAGGCAAAAUGACACCGUAACUUUGGAAGAAGGUGUGCCCUUGAUGGUGAUGAGACUUGCUCUUUGAGCUGUUGGGGGUUGCAGAUACCAGGUGGCUGCGACUGUUUAUCAAAAACACAGCACUCUGCGAAAUCGUAAGAUGAAGUAUAGGGUGUGACGCCUGCCCGGUGCUGGAAGGUUAAUUGAAGGGGUUAGCGCAAGCGAAGCUCUGGAUCGAAGCCCCAGUAAACGGCGGCCGUAACUAUAACGGUCCUAAGGUAGCGAAAUUCCUUGUCGGGUAAGUUCCGACCUGCACGAAUGGCGUAACGAUGGCCACACUGUCUCCACCAGAGACUCAGUGAAAUUGAAAUCGCUGUGAAGAUGCAGUGUACCCGCGGUUAGACGGACAGACCCCGUGAACCUUUACUAUAGCUUUGCACUGGACUUUGAAUAUUUAUGUGUAGGAUAGGUGGGAGACCAUGAAGCAGCUACGCCAGUAGUUGUGGAGUCGUCCUUGAAAUACCACCCUUGAAUAUUUGAAGUUCUAACUCAGGAGAGAUUCGAGGACAGUGUAUGGUGGGUAGUUUGACUGGGGCGGUCUCCUCCUAAAGAGUAACGGAGGAGUACGAAGGUGCACUCGGUACGGUCGGAAAUCGUGCCAAGAGUAUAAAGGCAAAAGUGCGCUUGACUGCGAGAGUGACGGCUCGAGCAGGUACGAAAGUAGGUCUUAGUGAUCCGGUGGUCCCGAAUGGAAGGGUCAUCGCUCAACGGAUAAAAGGUACUCCGGGGAUAACAGGCUAAUUCCUCCCAAGAGUUCAUAUCGACGGAGGAGUUUGGCACCUCGAUGUCGGCUCAUCACAUCCUGGGGCUGAAGUAGGUCCCAAGGGUAUGGCUGUUCGCCAUUUAAAGUGGUACGCGAGCUGGGUUCAGAACGUCGUGAGACAGUUCGGUCCCUAUCUGCCGUGGGCGUUAGAGAUUUGAGAAGAGUUGCUCCUAGUACGAGAGGACCGGAGUGAACGAACCACUGGCGUUCCGGUUGUUUCGCCAGAAGCAUUGCCGGGUAGCUACGUUUGGACGGGAUAAACGCUGAAAGCAUCUAAGCGUGAAGCCUCCUUCAAGAUUAGAUCUCUCUGAUGAAAAUCAGUAAGGAACGUUGGAGACUACGACGUUGAUAGGCUGGGUGUGGAAGUACAGCAAUGUAUGAAGCUUACCAGUACUAAUGAUCCGAGAGACUUAAGUCUAU